UACGGAGGGUGCAAGCGUUGCUCGGAAUCACUGGGCGUAAAGGGCUCGCAGGCGGCCUGUUAAGUCAGAUGUGAAAGCCCAGGGCUCAACCCUGGAACUGCAUUUGAAACUGGCAAGCUAGAGUGCGUGAGAGGAGAGCGGAAUUCCUGGUGUAGAGGUGAAAUUCGUAGAUAUCAGGAGGAACACCCGUGGCGAAAGCGGCUCUCUGGCACGACACUGACGCUCAUGAGCGAAAGCGUGGGUAGCAAACAGG
rnacentral:rRNA from 1 species